rnacentral:sRNA from 1 species
UUCUCCUGGAGAUGCGAGGGCCUCCAC